AGCAGCCGCGGUAAUUCCAGCUCCAAUAGCGUAUAUUAAAGUUGUUGCAGUUAAAAAGCUCGUAGUUGAAUUUCGGGAUCGGCAUGUUGGUCGUGCCUUACGGGGUAUGAACUGGCAUCGUCGGUUUCUCACCUUCUGGAGAAUCGUGAUGCUCUUAAUUGGGUGUUACGUGGAUCCAGGACCUUUACCUUGAAAAAAUUGAGUGUUUAAAGCAGGCAUUUUGCUCGAAUACAUUAGCAUGGAAUAAUAAAAUAGGACGGUUUGGUUCUAUUUUGUUGGUUUCUAGGAUCACCGUAAUGAUUAAUAGGGAUAGUUGGGGGCAUUAGUAUUCAAUUGUCAGAGGUGAAAUUCUUGGGAUUUUAUUGAAGACUAACUACUGCGAAAGCAUUUGCCAAGGAUGUUUUCAUUAAUCAAGAACGAAAGUUAGGGGAUCGAAGACGAUCAGAUACCGUCGUAGUCUUAACAUAAACUAUGCCGACUAGGAAUCAGACGAUGUUUAAUUUUUAAUGACUCGUUUAGG
rnacentral:rRNA from 1 species